UGGGGAAUUUUGCGCAAUGGGGGAAACCCUGACGCAGCAACGCCGCGUGCGGGAUGACGGCCUUCGGGUUGUAAACCGCUUUCAGCAGGGAAGAUAGUGACGGUACCUGCAGAAGAAGCUCCGGCUAACUACGUGCCAGCAGCCGCGGUAAUACGGGGGGUGCAAGCGUUGUCCGGAAUCAUUGGGCGUAAAGCGUUCGUAGGCGGUAUAUCAAGUCUGGUGUUAAAGCCCGGGGCUCAACUCCGGUUCAGCAUCGGAUACUGGUAAACUAGAAUGCGGUAGAGGUAAGGGGAAUUCCUGGUGUAGCGGUGAAAUGCGUAGAUAUCAGGAGGAACAUCGGUGGCGAAAGCGCCUUACUGGGCCGUUAUUGACGCUGAGGAACGAAAGCCGGGGGAGCAAAUG
rnacentral:rRNA from 1 species